CAUAUACCUGUCUCUUAACACUGCUCCCAGGGCACAAGGAUACUCUCAAGUUCUGUGCACUUUUUCCUGCUGAAUGGAUGUGGUUGAGGACAAGUCUAGAUUCACUGCUUCCUGCUAGGAGAUGUGUAAAAGGAAUGGAAUCUGAUUCUUCUGAUUUACUGGUGGAGCAAGAGAACACGUGGUCAGGAGAUGCAUGAUCAACUGACAAUGUGCAGAAGCAAAACUAGAACGCAUUAAUGAUCCGCAACAUCAUUCUUCUAAGUCCACUCUCCCCUGAUAGACUAUAUCCUAGCCUUUUAUGGCAGUGAAGCACAUUCAAGAAGAAGGAAGAUGGUACUUUGAAGUGCAUGCAACAUAUUUUACAGUACGUUUGAUGAGCUCAUCUUAAAUUUUCAACAAAAAUUGUCUUAGGAUAAGACUGUAAUUUUAAAUUUUUUCAUUCGUUUAUUGGUUAUCUGUUUCAUGCCUGGACCCAUACAAGGUGCUGAAGACAAAAUGAUGAUGAGCUAGAGGUGGCUUCAGCUUUCACAGAGCAAGCAGUCUGAUAGAGAAGACUGAUAAUUAAUCGUCAUGGUAGAGCCUGUUCAGAAACCUGUCAGUAGGGGUAGAGGGCUCUGAGGAAGUACAUUUGAGGGUUGUUGACCAAGACAUGGGUCAUAGGGAGGUUUCCAUUAUCUUAAUAACAUUUAAGCGAAGACACAUGGCUUGAGGAAGAGUGUUUCUGGAAAACAGUCAGAGAUAGGGGAGAAUGUAACACAUUCAGGGAACACAAAUGCAUUCGGUAUGAGUAGAACAGCAGGAAAAAAAUUGGUAUGUAAGCAAAAGACAAAUCAUGAUGUGAAUUAUACACCACAUUCAGGGAUUUUGAUUCUAUUUCCAGAACCAUGGGAAGGCUCAGAAUGGAUUGAAGUGUCUUCCUCACCCAGGACUUGGGGGAUGUGAAGUUCAAUAGCCCAAUUCCACAGAUCUAGAAAUGGCCCAAUUCCACAGAUCUAGAAAUGGCAGGGCUGAGUCUUCUGGCCCUCUUAACCCCUCUGCAAGAUGACCUCUUCUACACUCAGCACCCUGAACACUGG
rnacentral:lncRNA from 1 species